rnacentral:ncRNA from 2 species
AGUCAUAAUUUCAGUAUCGGUUCUCACGAAUAACAGCCGUGGGAAAAAACAGGGAAAGAGUAGUGAAAAUCUGCCACUGUCCCGCAACUGUAAUUGAGAAGGCUAUUCUCAUAAGUCAGAACACCUGCCGAAAUUAAUCUAAAAAU